rnacentral:rRNA from 1 species
CCUACGGGUGGCAGCAGUGGGGAAUAUUGCACAAUGGGGGAAACCCUGAUGCAGCGACGCCGCGUGAAGGAAGAAGUUUUUCGGUAUGUAAACUUCUAUUAGCAGGGAAGAAAAUGACGGUACCUAACUAAUAAGCCCCGGCUAACUACGUGCCAGCAGCCGCGGUAAUACGUAGGGGGCAAGCGUUAUACGGAUUUACUGGGUGUAAAGGGCGCGUAGGCGGGGAUGCAAGUCAGAGGUGAAAGCCUAGGGCUAAACCCCGGGACUGCAUUUGAAACUGUAUGUCUAGAUUGCAGGAGAGGCAAGUGGAAUUCCUAGUGUAGCGGUGAAAUGCGUAGAGAUUAGGAGGAACACCAGUGGCGAAGGCGGCUUGCUGGACUGUAAAUGACGCUGAGGCUCGAAAGCGUGGGGAGCAAACAGGAUUAGAUACCCGGGUAGUC